rnacentral:lncRNA from 1 species
GGAGGAGAGGAGGGGAGGAGGAGGAGGAGGAGGGAGGGGGGUGGGAGAGAUUAGUUUGGGAAGUAGCACGGAUUGCUCAUCCGAUCCGUUCAGCCGCAGCUCGUGUGUCAAGUUACAGAGGCGCCGGAAUCGGCCCCAACGCUCCUCGGCCGCGGCCACGACCCACCUCUGCCCAUGGGGCCCUCCGCGCGCGCCCCUCCGCCCCGGGACUGAGACCCGCGCGCCGCCGAGACGCGAGACCCCGAGCAGGACGGAGGGCGCAGCGCGGCCCCGGGACGCUGCAGACGCUCGCAGGGGGAGACCGGGCGGAGAGGGAGCGCCUCCCCGUUCCCCAGCCUCCCUGGACUUGGACCCUUCUGCGGAGGAACUUUCUGCGCACCUGGGUGUACCCCGAUUGCCGCCGGCUGCGGGUUUUUCCCGGCUCUCCCCCUCCUGCCGCUCAUUUUUCCAUCCUCUGCCGGGAGCAAAGGGAAGGGACGUUUCCCCCCCGCCCCUGCCCGCAGCUCGGAUCGCGCCUCUGGGCAGCGGCUCCAGCCUUUAUUUAUUCUAUUUAUUUAUUUAUUGGUUCUCAAGACGCGGGGGCAUGGUAGCGGAGCGCGCCCGCAAGGCGGCCGCAGCGGGUCCCCGCGGCCNNNNNNNNNNNNNNNNNNNNNNNNNNNNNNNNNNNNNNNNNNNNNNNNNCGCAGGCGGUGGCGCCGGCGGAGCGCUGCGCGCGGCUGCCCAGCGCGGGGGCGUGCGGGCUGCUGGCGCUGGCCCUGUGCUCGCUGGCGCUCAGCCUGCUCGCCCACUUUCGGACGGCCGAGCUGCAGGCCCGGGUGCUGCGCCUGGAAGCGGAGCGUGGGGAGCAGCAAAUGGAGACGGCUAUUUUGGGACGAGUCAACCAACUGCUGGACGAGAAAUGGAAGCUCCACUCUCGGAGGCGCCGGGAGGCCUUCCCGAAGACGUCUCCAGGAUGUCACUGCCCGCCAGGUAGGGAGCCCUGCGAGUAGGUGCCUAGGAUGGGGACACACACCAGAGACCCUCUUAGUGGGUGUGCUGUAGCCACCCC